AAAUUGAAGAGUUUGAUCAUGGCUCAGAUUGAACGCUGGCGGCAGGCCUAACACAUGCAAGUCGAGCGGAAACGAGUUAUCUGAACCUUCGGGGAACGAUAACGGCGUCGAGCGGCGGACGGGUGAGUAAUGCCUAGGAAAUUGCCCUGAUGUGGGGGAUAACCAUUGGAAACGAUGGCUAAUACCGCAUAAUGCCUACGGGCCAAAGAGGGGGACCUUCGGGCCUCUCGCGUCAGGAUAUGCCUAGGUGGGAUUAGCUAGUUGGUGAGGUAAUGGCUCACCAAGGCGACGAUCCCUAGCUGGUCUGAGAGGAUGAUCAGCCACACUGGAACUGAGACACGGUCCAGACUCCUACGGGAGGCAGCAGUGGGGAAUAUUGCACAAUGGGCGCAAGCCUGAUGCAGCCAUGCCGCGUGUGUGAAGAAGGCCUUCGGGUUGUAAAGCACUUUCAGUCGUGAGGAAGGUAGUGUAGUUAAUAGCUGCAUUAYUUGACGUUAGCGACAGAAGAAGCACCGGCUAACUCCGUGCCAGCAGCCGCGGUAAUACGGAGGGUGCGAGCGUUAAUCGGAAUUACUGGGCGUAAAGCGCAUGCAGGUGGUUUGUUAAGUCAGAUGUGAAAGCCCGGGGCUCAACCUCGGAAUWGCAUUUGAAACUGGCAGACUAGAGUACUGUAGAGGGGGGUAGAAUUUCAGGUGUAGCGGUGAAAUGCGUAGAGAUCUGAAGGAAUACCGGUGGC
rnacentral:rRNA from 1 species